GGUCUGCUGUGUGCACAUACAUCAGAUCCAACAAAUAAUAUACAGAUGUUUUAUUAGUUUUAGAAGAUUGUGACGAAAUAAAUCCUCUUAAGUUAUUUCAUAUUUAAACUCGCAACGCAUUCGCGAGUGAUUCUUUUGUGAACAGUGUGUUAAAAUUGAAAUAACAGAAUACAAAAAAAGAUGUGUGGUGGAUUUACGUGCUCGAAAAAUGCAUUGACAGCACUCAACGUUUUAUAUAUCGUAAUUGCAUUCGUUUUAAUUGGAUCGGCCGUUUAUGGAAGGGCUUCGGCUUUGGUUACUGAUCUUCCAAUUAUUGGAGGUAUUUUAGCAUGUGGGGUAAUGCUGAUUUUAAUUUCAAUCCUUGGAUUAAUUGGUGCGAUUAAACAUCAUCAAGUACUACUGUUUUUCUAUAUGCUGAUACUUUUCUUAUUGUUCCUUGUUCAAUUCAGCAUAGCGUGCGCAUCUCUUUCAGUCAAUACAAAACAACAGGAGGAACUCGCCGAACAAGGCUGGAGAAAUGUUGGACCUGAUCUCAAGCAAAAAGUUCAGGAAACAUUUAGUUGUUGUGGUUUUAAUGAUACCUUGAGUAGUGUGCCUGUUUCACAAAAUUUACACUGUCCCGAGAUCUGCGCACAAAAUGGAUGUCCACCGUGUAUGCAAAAAUUACAAUCGACUAUUGAUUAUGCAUUUAAAUUAUGUGGAAGUAUAGGACUUUUCUUCAGUUUUACUGAGUUUGUUGGUGUCUGGUUGACGGUACGCUACAGGAACCAAAAAGACCCUCGAGCUAACCCUAGCGCUUUCCUCUAGUCUAAUACCAUCGCUAUGACUCCCGUUUUCUCGCAUGAUCAUCUUAACAGAUGGUGAUUGCGGCUUUCUUGGCAAUACGGUAUAGAAAUCAAUACGAUCCAGAAUUAAAAGCUGCCAGAGCUGUUUUUCCACGAGAUGAUUAUUUAUAUUGACAGAAACUUUUUUUUUUGUUUCAACAAUUUUCCCUUGAUUACUGAAACUUUAUAGGAUUGUUUACAAUCCAUCGACUUUAGAAAGAAAUCAUCAUCAAACAAACAUACUCUCGAUUAAAUUUUAUUUCUUCUUUUGUUUUAUAUAAAAUCACAAAGAAGUAAAUUUUUAUAAAUUUGACAAUUUAGAGGAGCAUGAAAUUUAAAUUACUAUCAUACUUCCAAGAAACUCGAUUUUAUUUCUUCUUUUAAUUAUUAACUGAAAAUAGUGAUAUUUUUACUGUACACAUUGCAUCUAUUUAAUCUUUUAUCUACUUUAGACAGAAGCUCAUAAUUUUUUAAGCCAAAGAUUUAUUUUUUAUUUAGAAAAUAGAAAAAUUUCAUUUAAUUCAAAGAUUGAAAAGGAAUUUUUUUUCUUUUUGUCUGUUCAAGAUCAUUUGACUAGUAUUUAAGAAUAGAAGUUGCUUCAUAUUUACAGAUCUCAAACAGAACGAUAGCGAACGUCAUAAUAUAACAAUCAUUCCAAUUUUACAUAUGUGAUAUUCAUAUACGGUCUAAGAAAAUCUGAAAUUGAU